rnacentral:rRNA from 1 species
UGAGGAAUAUUGGCCAAUGGGCGGGAGCCUGAACCAGCCAAGUCGCGUGAGGGAAGACGGUCUUACGGAUUGUAAACCUCUUUUGCCGGGGAGCAAAGGGCGCCACGCGUGGCGUUUCGAGAGUACCCGGAGAAAAGCAUCGGCUAACUCCGUGCCAGCAGCCGCGGUAAUACGGAGGAUGCGAGCGUUAUCCGGAUUUAUUGGGUUUAAAGGGUGCGUAGGUUGUUUUUAAGUCAGCGGUGAAAGUUUGUGGCUCAACCAUAAAAUUGCCGUUGAAACUGGAAGACUUGAGUGUGUUUGAGGUAGGCGGAAUGCGUGGUGUAGCGGUGAAAUGCAUAGAUAUCACGCAGAACUCCGAUUGCGAAGGCAGCGUACCGGCGCCCAACUGACGCUGAAGCACGAAGGCGUGGGUAUCGAACAGGAUUAGAUACC